rnacentral:misc_RNA from 1 species
UUCUGCCGGUACCUAUUGAAGCCUUAGCAGCCCGAAAGGGUGCGCCCCUGCGACUAUAAACACUGGAGGGUGCCUAAUUGCUAGUCUGCUCUGCAGGCAACACUGUCAAAUUGCGGGGAACCCCUAAAGACCUCAACACCAAGCGUCCGCCGGAAACGGCGGCGUGGCCGAGCUAAUAGCCCUGGGUACGGUAACAGCUUGAGGUAUGACGCCCCCUUGCGGGGGUGAAAAUGGGCAAUCCGCAGCCAAG